rnacentral:rRNA from 1 species
GACAGAGGCCUCAAGCGUUAGGCGGAAUCACUGGGCUUAAAGGGCGCGUAGGCGGCCAGCACAAGUCAGUUGUGAAAUCUCCGGGCUUAACUCGGAAAGGUCAACUGAUACUGUGCGACUAGAGUGCAGAAGGGGCAACUGGAAUUCUCGGUGUAGCGGUGAAAUGCGCAGAUAUCGGGAGGAACACCGGUGGCGAAGGCGGUUCUCUGGGCCUUACCUGACGCUGAGGAGCGAAAGCGUGGGGAGCGAACAGG